GACGAACGCUGGCGGCGUGCUUAACACAUGCAAGUCGAACGGAAAGGCCCUGCUUUUGUGGGGUGCUCGAGUGGCGAACGGGUGAGUAACACGUGAGUAACCUGCCCUUGACUUUGGGAUAACUUCAGGAAACUGGGGCUACUACCGGAUAGGAGCUCCUGCUGCAUGGUGGGGGGUGGAAAGUUUCGGCGGUUGGGGAUGGACUCGCGGCUUAUCAGCUUGUUGGUGGGGUAGUGGCUUACCAAGGCUUUGACGGGUAGCCGGCAUGAGAGGGUGGCCGGCCACAUUGGGACUGCGAUAGGGCCCAGACUGCUACGGGAGGCAGCAGUGGGGAAUAUUGCACAAUGGGCGGAAGCCUGAUGCAGCAACGCCGCGUUCGGGAUGACGGCCUGCGGGUUGUAAACCGCUUUCGCCUGAGACGAAGCGGGAGUGACGGUAAUGGGUAAAGAAGCACCGGCUAACUACGUG
rnacentral:rRNA from 1 species